rnacentral:lncRNA from 1 species
GGAGUUGUCAAGACAAUAGGAUCACCACUCAUAUUUGCCUUUGGUUCACCAACGUUAACAAAGCUAGAUUGUUGCUCCUUGAAGAGAUCCAACUUUCCCGAAUGUAAGCUCCUGUGACUAUCUCUAGCACUGUCAGUUUUACUUAUGCUUGUUAUUUGUUAUGUUUGGCAGCCAUGGUAAUAUUUAGAGUUUAGAGGAAACCAAUUACUGCUAGUUAGUUCUAGUCAAAACCCUAAAAUAUUACAAGGUCAGUUGCAUUUUCUUGUGAAAUCAAUUAUCAUAUAUCUAAAUUUUGGACUAACUACAUGAGUAUUUCUUGUUUUGUCGACCUGACAUUGCUGGAGUUCAUGUACGUAUGCCUUUGUUUCAGUUUGAUGAAGUCAACUUGUUGUGUUAAUCCACAGUCAGUAGGUCUUAUGUAUACUCGGUUGUGGGUUAUUUGUCGACAUUGACGAGGUUUGUGUAAAAAGUGGUAGCUCUUAGCGCCUACCGUUUUCGUCAACGUCUUCACGGUCAUAUUUUUUGGGUGUCUAUUUAUGAGACUGAGAGAGAAGAGAGAGAGAUUAGAAUCUGAGGGAUGUGAGCGAAGAUUCUAAUCUCAUCUGUUUCUUUGAUUUUGGUGUUUCUCUUGUUGAAUUUGUGAGUUUGUGUUGUUAAUCAAUACGUUUGUGAGGUUUGAUCCUGGAUAAGCAAUAAAGAUACAGAGUUUUACUAUCAAAAGCUUAUCAGGUCACUGAUGGUAUCGUUUGAUUAAGAAGGCUUUCUAAAUUGGCUGCCCUGGUUCUAUUUGAUCAUCACUUUUUACGACUCUUUUGUUUGCCAUGAACAUUACUGUUGAGUUUGAGUGGCUUAGACAAAAGAAAUAUGAAGAGGAAGGAGUCAAUUCUGAUUGCAACAGUUGUCUCAAGUCUUCAAAGGAAAAGAAAAGACUCUAAAGCAUGUGGAGGGUCUGAGCACAAGCUAAAGUUCUCAUUGUUGCUUUAUCAUAUGGAGUUCGCGACCCUACUUGAAAGAGCCAAUGAGAGGAGUUCGUACAACCAGCUUGGAGACCAAGUUUAGGGACCACAAGUUUUGUCUCAUUUACUUCUAUUCAUUUAGGAGUAGACGAGAAAGAGGGAAGGAGUGCUAGGGUUGGGGAAAAGAGAGAGAAACAAGAAAGAGAGAGCUUUGUAAGUUACCGGAGAGGGUGAGAGAACAAAGCUGUAAUCUUGAAGUGGUUUAGUGGAUUUCCGGGAGGUUUCCCGGCGAGAUGUAGGUUCCGAACUCGUUAAAUCUUGUGUGCUCCCUUUAUUUUUCCAGCUCUGCAUCAUUCUUCUUUAACAGAUCUGCAUCAUAUUCAUAUUCUCUGCAUCUCCAUUGUUAAACACUUCUCUGUCUCUGCAUCACUUUCUGUUUCAGUUUGUUAGUCUCUGAUCUACAUUCUUCAAGUCAGUUCUUAAGCUUCAAGACUAGUAGUUGUGUGCUUGUGAGACAUAAAGCUUGGGUUAAGGAGAUUAAAACCUCACAAUUACUGUCACUGAUGAUCUCUUGUGCAGUAUGUUCUUGUAUGAUCUACGGUGAAGUAAAGGCUCCAACGGUUUCUGAGGUAGCGAAGCAAGAGUGCGCCGAGGAGGAGGAGGAACCGCAAGGUUGUGCCUCAUGUUACGUAGAACGUUUGAGGCGAAAUGAGACGCGGCUCCAAGGCUCAACGACGAUGACGAACCCGCGGCUGCUGUAUCUCGUUUGCCCGUUCGAGCGCGUCUCGUAGACGGUCUUUUUCUUCCUGUAAUGAUUUUGCCAAUUUCCUACGACAGUGUCUCCGCCACGCUGCUUGUACAAAAGACGCUCCCCAUGUUCUCCAUUGCACUGAGUAAAGCCUAACGACAUUACAUAAAAAGAGAUUGUAGUUCACCUUUAAUAAGCUGAGAGAGAGAAUGAGAAAGAGAACCUGAAAAGUAUGCUGGAGCUGCUUGUUAUGGAGGCGUCUGAAUUGUGAAGCGGCAGAUUUGAGAUCCUCUGCGGCAAGGGAAAAGGCUUCUACUUCGGUGAGAGCCUGGACUGUCCUUGUCGAGAUAGGAAAAUGCGACCAAGAUUGAGGAUCUAAAGCCCACGUUAGAAGAUGAUCUCCACAGAAAUCACUUGCCUUGAAAUGCACGACACUGAGGAACCCUGUUUGUCAUCCAUUGGUGGUCGCACUUAAAAGCUUUCCUCUCAUAACAAACACCAUUUCCCCAACAGGAUCUCCUUCACGGAUCACGUAUAGCUCUUGUCUGUGUAGAGGACCGGUUUUAACCUAUCGCAUACAGCGUCAAAUAAUUGCUCACCCAUUAUCUCA